CCUACGGGAGGCAGCAGUGAGGAAUAUUGGUCAAUGGACGAGAGUCUGAACCAGCCAUGCCGCGUGAAGGAUGACUGCCCUCUGGGUUGUAAACUUCUUUUAUAUGGGAAUAAAAUGUUCCACGUGUGGGUUUUUGUAUGUACCAUAUGAAUACGGAUCGGCUAACUCCGUGCCAGCAGCCGCGGUAAUACGGAGGAUCCGAGCGUUGUCCGGAUUUAUUGGGUUUAAAGGGAGCGUAGGUGGAUUGUUAAGUCAGUUGUGAAAGUUUGCGGCUCAACCGUAAAAUUGCAGUUGAAACUGGCAGUCUUGAGUACAGUAGAGGUGGGCGGAAUUCGAGGUGUAGCGGUGAAAUGCGUAGAGAUCACGAGGAACUCCGAUGGCGAAGGCAGCUCACUGGACUGCAACUGACACUGAGGCGCGAAAGUGUGGGUAUCAAACAGGAUUAGAUACCCUUGUAGUC
rnacentral:rRNA from 1 species